CCUACGGGAGGCAGCAGUGGGGGAUAUUGCACAAUGGGGGAAACCCUGAUGCAGCGACGCCGCGUGGGUGAAGAAGCGCCUCGGCGCGUAAAGCCCUGUCAGCAGGGAAGAAAAUGACCGGACCUGAAGAAGAAGCCCCGGCUAACUACGUGCCAGCAGCCGCGGUAAUACGUAGGGGGCAAGCGUUAUCCGGAUUUACUGGGUGUAAAGGGGGCGCAGACGGCUCUGCAAGCCAGGAGUGAAAGCCCGGGGCCCAACCCCGGGACUGCCCUUGGAACUGCGUGGCUAGAGUGCAGGAGGGGCAGGCGGAAUGCCUGGUGUAGCGGUGAAAUGCGUAGAUAUCAGGAGGAACACCGGUGGCGAAGGCGGCCUGCUGGACUGCAACUGACGUUGAGGCCCGAAAGCGUGGGGAGCAAACAGGAUUAGAUACCCGAGUAGUC
rnacentral:rRNA from 1 species